rnacentral:rRNA from 1 species
GACGAACGCUGGCGGCAGGCUUAACACAUGCAAGUCGAACGCCCCGCAAGGGGAGCGGCAGACGGGUGAGUAACGCGUGGGAAUCUACCCAUCUCUACGGAAUAACGCAUGGAAACGUGUGCUAAUACCGUAUACGUCCUUCGGGAGAAAGAUUUAUCGGAGAUGGAUGAGCCCGCGUUGGAUUAGCUAGUUGGUGGGGUAAAGGCCUACCAAGGCGACGAUCCAUAGCUGGUCUGAGAGGAUGAUCAGCCACACUGGGACUGAGACACGGCCCAGACUCCUACGGGAGGCAGCAGUGGGGAAUAUUGGACAAUGGGCGCAAGCCUGAUCCAGCCAUGCCGCGUGAGUGAUGAAGGCCCUAGGGUUGUAAAGCUCUUUCACCGGUGAAGAUAAUGACGGUAACCGGAGAAGAAGCCCCGGCUAACUUCGUGCCAGCCGCCGCCGUAAUAC